AUUGAACGCUGGCGGCAGGCCUAACACAUGCAAGUCGAACGAGUGGCGGACGGGUGAGUAAUGUCUGGGAAACUGCCUGAUGGAGGGGGAUAACUACUGGAAACGGUAGCUAAUACCGCAUACCAUCAGAUGUGCCCAGAUGGGAUUAGCUAGUUGGUGGGGUAACGGCUCACCAAGGCGACGAUGCCUAGCUGGUCUGAGAGGAUGACCAGCCACACUGUGACUGAGACACGGUCGAGAAACCUACGGGGGGCAGCAGUGGGGAAUCGUGAACAAAGGGCGCAAGCAGGAUACAGCCAUGCCGCGUAUAUGAAGAAGGCCUUCGGGUUGAAAAGUACUUUCAGCGGGGAGGCGUUACCCGAAGAAGAAGCACCGGCUAACGCCGUGCCAGCCGCCGCGGUAAUUC
rnacentral:rRNA from 1 species